UACGGAGGGGGUUAGCGUUGUUCGGAAUGACCGGGCGUAAAGCGCGCGUAGGCGGAUCAGGAAGUUGGGGGUGAAAUCCCGGGGCUCAACCCCGGAAUGGCCUUCAAAACUCCUGGUCUUGAGUUCGAGAGAGGUGAGUGGAAUUCCGAGUGUAGAGGUGAAAUUCGUAGAUAUUCGGAGGAACACCAGUGGCGAAGGCGGCUCACUGGCUCGACACUGACGCUGAGGUGCGAAAGCGUGGGGAGCAAACAGG
rnacentral:rRNA from 1 species